GCGAUGAACUGACGAUAGCAAUAUCUGACGGGAUUAGCAGCGAACGGGUGAGUAACACGUAGGAAUCUGCCCCAAAGUUCGGAAUAGCCUGGCGAAAGUCAGGGUAAUACCGGAUGUGAUCUUCGGAUUAAAGGCUUCGGUCGCUUUGGGAUGAGCCUGCGUUCCAUCAGCUUGUUGGUAGGGUAAAAGCCUACCAAGGCGAAGACGGAUAGCUGGUCUGAGAGGACGGUCAGCCACAAUGGAACUGAGACACGGUCCAUACACCUACGGGUGGCAGCAGUCGAGAAUCAUUCGCAAUGGACGAAAGUCUGACGGUGCGACGCCGCGUGGGGGAUGAAGGCCUUAGGGUCGUAAACCCCUGUCGGGUGCGAGUAAGGUCCUACUUACGUAGGAAUUGAUAUUAGCAUCAAAGGAAGGGACGGCUAACUCCGUGCCAGCAGCCGCGGUAAUACGGAGGUCCCAAGCGUUGUUCGGAUUCACUGGGCGUAAAGCGUGCGUAGGCGGAGAAAUAAGUUUGGCGUGAAAGCCCCGGGCCCAACCCGGAAAU
rnacentral:rRNA from 1 species